UACGUAGGGUGCAAGCGUUAAUCGGAAUUACUGGGCGUAAAGCGUGCGCAGGCGGUUUUGUAAGUCUGACGUGAAAUCCCCGGGCUCAACCUGGGAAUUGCGUUGGAGACUGCAAGGCUAGAAUCUGGCAGAGGGGGGUAGAAUUCCACGUGUAGCAGUGAAAUGCGUAGAGAUGUGGAGGGACACCGAUGGCGAAGGCAGCCCCCUGGGUCAAGAUUGACGCUCAUGCACGAAAGCGUGGGGAGCAAACAGG
rnacentral:rRNA from 1 species